rnacentral:rRNA from 1 species
AUUGAACGCUGGCGGCAUGAUUUACACAUGCAAGUCGAACGGUAACAGGCCGCAAGGUGCUGACGAGUGGCGAACGGGUGAGUAAUGCAUCGGAACGUGCCCAGUCGUGGGGGAUAACUACUCGAAAGAGUAGCUAAUACCGCAUACGAUCUAUGGAUGAAGGCGGGGGACCGUAAGGCCUCGCGCGAUUGGAGCGGCCGAUGUCAGAUUAGGUAGUUGGUGGGGUAAAGGCUCACCAAGCCAACGAUCUGUAGCUGGUCUGAGAGGACGACCAGCCACACUGGGACUGAGACACGGCCCAGACUCCUACGGGAGGCAGCAGUGGGGAAUUUUGGACAAUGGGCGCAAGCCUGAUCCAGCAAUGCCGCGUGCAGGAAGAAGGCCUUCGGGUUGUAAACUGCUUUUGUACGGAACGAAACGGCUCUGGUUAAUACCCGGGGCUAAUGACGGUACCGGAAGAAUAAGCACCGGCUAACUACGUG